rnacentral:lncRNA from 7 species
GGUUCUCAGUGCGCUGGUAACUCUGCUGUUAUCCUCUUUUAGGUGCUGCUGCUGCAGUAUCCCUUGCGUACUACACUGAAAGAAAUAGCCUGGACGUGCACCUGGAAUGUGCUCAAAUGAUACCGUGCAACUUGGAAAUGCCCAGAGGCCUUUAUGGUGAGUUUUGUUGAACAAAGCACAGAAGUUCGAUCGCUGCAUGUCAAGUAAAAAAGUACACAUAUUUUGAUCACUUUGCUGAAACCUCAAAACAUAGAAGUACAGCAACAACGAGACGUGAAAGCUACAGCAAAUGCCUGCUGGAAAGAGUCUUUGUUGCUGGGGCAACCGCAAGAGCUUUCACUAUUUUUUUUCACUGACUAACAUUUGCAGUACUUCCCACCUAGUGUAGGAGAUGGUGGCUGUUUUACAUAAACAUAUAUUUAAUGCUUAAAAAAUGCCAACUUUGAAGCUAUACCAACUGAUAUUGUUUGUAGAGGAACUAGUGUGUCAGGAAAGUAGCUGCCUGCUCAUCAUCAGAUUGCUGUGCCAAAUCUGUUGACUUCAGCAAGACAAGACUUAACCUUUUAUUCUGGUUGAAGCUAAUGAAACUGAGGUGCAGUGCAUUCCUUUUCCAUCUUCCACGUAUUUUUCUGUGUAUGGUAUAAUUAUGAGUUUCAUUGUAAUAACCUUUGCACUUCAAUAUUUUAUUUAGCUGAAAGCAACCUGGGAGAUUUUACAUCUGCAGAACACAUUUCACCCUGAAAAAAAAAUAAAAUGAAAGCAUUUUG